rnacentral:rRNA from 1 species
GACAGAGGAUGCAAGCGUUAUCCGGAAUGAUUGGGCGUAAAGCGUCUGUAGGUGGCUUUUUAAGUCCGCCGUCAAAUCCCAGGGCUCAACCCUGGACAGGCGGUGGAAACUACCAAGCUGGAGUACGGUAGGGGCAGAGGGAAUUUCCGGUGGAGCGGUGAAAUGCGUAGAGAUCCGGAGGAACACCCGUGGCGAAAGCACUCUGCUGGGCCGACACUGACACUGAGAGACGAAAGCUAGGGGAGCGAAUGGG